CACGUAGGGUGCGAGCGUUGUCCGGAAUUAUUGGGCGUAAAGAGCUCGUAGGCGGUCUGUCGCGUCGGCUGUGAAAACCCGAGGCUCAACCUCGGGCCUGCAGUCGAUACGGGCAAACUAGAGUACUGCAGGGGAGACUGGAAUUCCUGGUGUAGCGGUGAAAUGCGCAGAUAUCAGGAGGAACACCGGUGGCGAAGGCGGGUCUCUGGGCAGUAACUGACGCUGGAGGAGCGAAAGCGUGGGGAGCGAACAGG
rnacentral:rRNA from 1 species